rnacentral:rRNA from 1 species
GACAGAGGUGCCAAGCGUUAGGCGGAAUCACUGGGCUUAAAGCGUGUGUAGGCGGAUCGUUAAGUACCUUGUGAAAUCCCACGGCUCAACCGUGGAACUGCUGGGUAUACUGGCGGUCUUGAGCCACCUAGGGGCGAGCGGAACAAGCGGUGGAGCGGUGAAAUGCGUAGAUAUCGCUUGGAACGCCAACGGUGAAAACAGCUCGCUGGGGGGUGUGCUGACGCUGAGACACGAAAGCGUGGGGAGCAAACAGG